CUUAGUGGUGCCUCUAUAGACUCUAAAUUCGAUUCACCAAUCAAAUCCAAUUCUGUGUGUGUCGAUCCUUCCACCUAAUGAAUUUUAUCAAGUUUAAUUUUACAAGCAUUAGCUCUUUCAUCAAGGAACUCUUUUUUCAAAAAGACUGCCCGACUGCUGACAAACACCUUUUGCUCUGUAGUGAGAUAGAAGUAGCACCCUUUAAUUUUCUUUGGGUAUCCUACGAACAAGCAUCUAUUGGACUUCGGUUCAAGCUUAUCUGUCUUUAAAUGCUUGACAUAAGCUGGACACCCCCAGACCCCAAGGUGUGAGAGCACUGGC
rnacentral:lncRNA from 1 species